AAUGGACGAAAGUCUGACGGAGCGACGCCGCGUGGUGGAUGAAGUCCUUAGGGACGUAAGCACCUUUUAUGAGGGAGGAAGUUUAUUGACGUUACCUCAUGAAUAAGGGGCUCCCAAUUCUGUGCCAGCAGGAGCGGUAAUACAGAAGCCCCGAGCGUUACCCGGAUUCACUGGGCGUAAAGGGUGCGUAGGCGGUUAUAUUAGUCGGGUGUUAAAUCCUGGGGCUCAACCUCAGGCUCGCAUUCGAAACGGUAUAACUAGAAGAAGUGAGAGGUAAACAGAACUCAUGGUGUAGGGGUGAAAUCCGUUGAUAUCAUGGGGAAUACCAAAUGCGAAGGCAGUUUACUGGCACUUUCUUGACGCUGAGGCACGAAAGCGUGGGUAGCGAACGGGAUU
rnacentral:rRNA from 1 species